UACAGAGGUCUCGAGCGUUAGGCGGAAUCACUGGGCUUAAAGCGUGUGUAGGCGGAUCGUUAAGUACCUUGUGAAAUCCCACGGCUUAACCGUGGAACUGCUUGGUAUACUGGCGGUCUUGAGCCAGCUAGGGGCUACCGGAACAAAUGGUGGAGCGGUGAAAUGCGUAGAUAUCAUUUGGAACGCCAAUGGUGAAAACAGGUAGCUGGGGCUGUGCUGACGCUGGAGACACGGAAAGCCAGGGGAGCAAACGGG
rnacentral:rRNA from 1 species